CAGUCUUAAAAGCAGCAAAAUGAAAUAAACAAAGAGACAGGCCACCGAAACGGUGCCUUGAAAAAGCAAAACUGGAAAUAAAGUUGUGCCUAAGAAACCUGAAACGCCAAAAAUAAAAUGAAAAGAAAAAAAUCUUAAGUAACCCUUCUUCUUCUUUCUUCUACUUUAACUGAAGAUAAAACCUGUGUAUCAACCAUGCAAGAGACCUCUUUUCUUCCAAGACUAUACCUUCCUAAGUCCUCAGUCUCUUCUUACUCGCGAGUUCUUCGAGCGCACUAUCACCUCAAGCCCGGACUCAACCUUCCUAUCUAACCAUUAUGACAACCAUUUCUCCUUUCUUGAUUUACCAGAAUCUCCACUGCAUUCGGCGCCUCCUCAAUCUAAAUUCGAGGAUGCUCGUAAUGCCCUCCGUCCUUCGCCAUCGCAUGAGUCGCUCUGUUGGCCGCCCUCGCUCUCAGUUUGCGAAUUAUGGUUAGUGCAUCUCCUUCAAUGCAUACAUCCAGGAAACCCAUGUCUUCAGCCAAAGUAACAGCUUGCAGACACGCCCUAGCCUCGGCCAUCACUGGAUCUUGGAUAUUUUUCCAUGGGUAAGAACAUGCUGCUAUUAUAAGGCCUUCUUUAUUACGUGCUAUGAUUCCUGAGAUAGAACAAUUUGUUAUAUGAUUAAAUGAAGCGUCAAAAUUGAUUUUAAUGGUGUCAUUGUCUAAAUUUUCACCAUCUCAUGAAUUCUUUAAUCUCUCCCUCGUACAACUGUAUAGUAUGCCUUAAUAAACCCCACAACUUCUGCUACUGACUCUCGUACACCAUCAUGGUAAAUUUUGUUGCGAUUAUACCAAAUUGCCCAAUAUGUGAUAGCUCUAAUUUUACAUUCUUCAAUGCUCAGAUUUUCAAAUUCUUUUGCUAACCAAUUCUUCCAACUGGUCUCUCUAUUGCAUGUUGUAACUACCACUCCCAAACCCCUCAAGACCUGUUGUGUGAAGAAACAACCUCUAAAGAGGUGAUCCACCGAUUCCUCUUCAGUUUGACAUACCGGGCAUACAGUGUUGACAACCAAGUAACGGGCUUUUAGGUUAUGUAAAGUAGGUAGAUAGUCAUUAGCAAUUCUCCAUAUUAGGAUACAUAUUUUACUUGGGAUCUUGAUCUCCCAAAACUUUGUAAAGAAAGUAGUAGAAGUUUCAUUAUUUAUCCUUGUACCCCCUUCUAGAAUAAGCCAUCUGUAGCCGCUCUUUGCUGUGUAUACCCCAGUGUUGUCACCACAUCAUACUGGAACAUCUUGUAUCCUAUUGCUCACCAAGGGGAUUGAAACUAUGUGCCGCAAUUGCUCCUCUCCGAACAGUGUGCGAAUAAUCUCUUGUUUCCAGAUCCCGGCAGCCAUUUAUCAUUCCAGAUGUUAACUGAAUCCCCAUUACCGAUUCAUCAUUCCAUUCCUUCUUCGAGAAGGUAUCUAGCUCCCAAAAUGCUGCGCCAGGUAAACGAAGGGCCCGUCUUUGGGGUCGUAUGGAGGUGUGGUCACUCAAGAAUCAAGGUUGAAAGGGAUCCAAAAUAUUAUUUUUUAAUUUUUAAGGGACCCAAAAAAAACUUUAACUUUAAAAGUCCAAAAAAGAAUUUUUACCAACUUUUAAGGGGCAAAACAAAUUUUAGCUUUUAAUGGCCCAAAAUUUUUUUUUACCAACUUUUAAGUUUUAAGGGACUCAAAAAAAAUUUUUCUCCAACUUUUAAAGAAUCUAAGACCCCAUUUUAUUGUUUUGCUUAGGGCCCUAAAAAUGUCAAGAACAUGCAUGUUUGUUCUUCUAUAAUGUUCUUUCUUAAUUGUUCUUCUUUUAUUAAGUUCAGAAUUUUUUAUUCAAAUAAUAUAAAAAAUAAAAAAUUACAAAAAUGAAGCAAGUAAAAAUUAUUUAUGAAAAUAGACAUUUUCAACAGUUCUAGUCGGUGCUGCUUGAUACACAGGCGGUACCACUCCACUUUCUUCCCCAAUCAUGAGGUCAUCAUCAGUUUAAAAAAAAGAAUUUUUUUUUGUGCUGCCACUUUGUCAGGCGGCACCGGUAUAUAUUUUUGAAAAAAUACCUGAAGAAAUACGGGUAUACCAUGUUACAAAAAAAUUAAUAUUAUCGCUGAUGUGUCAAGCAACACUAAUGAGAUUUAAAUAUUAUUUGACAGCCACGGAUUCUCUUGCUUUUUUGCUUUCCAACCUUUUUUUCACUUAUUUAUUUUUCCUUUUCAAGCAUUUUUUUAUUACUUAGUAUAUAAAGAGGGGUUUGGUCCCCUACCCCAUCUACAACCUGUUGGGAGAAAAAAAAAGGUUUGAGUUUUUUUAGGUUUUUUUGUGUUUAGUAUAAAAGUUUGGAAGAAAGUUAAUUUGUGUUG